UUGAAUUUCUAGCCCUGGCAGAAAAAAUACAUUUCAACAGUGUGGAGCAUCGCUAUUGAAUAAAUAGAAGAACACAAAUACUUGCUUUUUAAAAAACAAAAUAGCAAUAUACUUUGCAUAGAGUCAAAACAGAAAACAAAGAAAUAAAUUAAUAGCAUAAUAUUAAAAAUGCAGGCAGGCUAUUACCCUAAAAUAUAUUUAAUUAAGGACAAGAACAUCAUGUCCAGGCAAGCUCUUGAAAUCAGGUUCAGACCUCGUGCAAGGCUUCUGAUACAAGCGCUUCCGUCUUGGACUCUCUCCCUACUUCAGUCUACGCUGGCCAAUAUAUCAUUGUCAGCAUUGUACCG